rnacentral:lncRNA from 1 species
CUUUAAGAAUAUGUACUGAUAUAACACUGCUAUUCGCAGUGAGAUGCGAUUCUUCAGGAAUGCUUCCUUAGAGAAAUCAAAUGCCGUCAGAUGUAUGCUUUGUCCUCUCUGCAGUAUGUUCAUCAGAUGUCAAAUCGAUAACAGGUUUUUGGACUCCUCUCAAAAAGUUCUCAGCUUCUGAAGUGAACUUGUCAUACCUUCCCUUUAACCAUUCUUUACGCACUUCUGAUGAAUGUCAUUAGAAGGUAAUCACAGUGUCUCCUGUGAAGCAGAUGAACAAUAAGUAGUUGACCAGGAGCUGUACUAUAUCGGAUUUUUUACGACUUCAAGGAGCUCAAUUUACAAGCACCAAUUCUUCUUCUUUCAUCUCUCAGAAUGAUCUAAAAUGCAAAAACCUCUUCAAUUAAAAUCUCUUUAUCCUAUUAAUAUGACCUUUUUUGGCAAUUUGUUUAUCUGAAGAAUAUUUAUCUGUUGAAAAACAAUUAUCAAAAUCAUAAGAGCAAAUUUCUUUUUUAAAAAAAUGUUUUCAUUAUUAUGAAGGGUAGGUUUUUAAAAAUUAUAAAAAUGAUACACUGGAAAUUCUAUACUGAAUCAUAUAAAAAAGUGAUUAAAAAUUUUAAAAAACAUAAAUUUUAUUUUAACCAUGAUACUUUUUUUCUACAUUAUGCACAUAAUAAUUGAAAAAUAAAUGUUAGAUAAAAGCUUAUAAUAUUAUUUGAGAACUAUGAGUAAAUUGAAUAAUAACUAAAAUAUAAUGUUAAAAAAAAUUUAAUGCAUUUAAAAAUAUUACAAGAAAAAAAUACAAAAGAUGAGGUCCAAUCGCAGACAGCUGGCCAAGCCGAAAGAAAGCCAGCCCUAAGUGCCUGGCCUUCCCUCUUUUUCUAUUUAUAAUGGCCUUCAUUUAAAAAAUAAAUAAAUAAUAGAUGACGCGUCGUCUACUAUUCUAGAUUUUAGUUACUGGAAAGGUUGUCAAAAAAUCUAGACUAGGGUUUUUUUGGAUUGAAAACACUUUUUUUAAAAGCUUAUUUUCAUUGAAAACAACUAAAAAACACUCUUAGCAUCUUAAUAAACCAAUUUCCCGACCUAAAACACCUUUAAAUUAAUCCAAAAGCAUAAAAUCAAAUCGAAAAAAAUUCUCUCAACCUUGAUCCACCUUUUCUGACGAGAUGAAGAUUUAAAAAUACCUCAAUGAAACCUAUUGAGACCAAGACCAAACUUUUUUUUUAUAGGAAAUGUGGUCAACGAUAACUUCUUCUCUCUUUCUCUGUUAUCCGAAGACUUUCUCUCUCCCCUCUCACAUAGAAGAACCGAAAACAAGCAAAAUAAAUUUUUGGACCCAAACUAAAAUUUCAAAAACUACAGGGACUAUAAAGAAGAAAAACAAAAUUAAGUGGACUAAAGAAUAUAUUUUUCUCAUGAAUUUAAGAUUGGUUAUGAAGUUUCUCCUUGUUUUUCACUUUGAUUGAAAGUUUUAAUUCCUUAACAAUUUUUUUUUUAAAAAAAGGUAAAUAAUCUAAUCAUAGAUAGCUGCAAUUGGAAAAAAAAACUUGAGAACGAAAUUGAAAGAAAAAAAAGUUUGUAGUAUGGUAGAUAAUUACAAUGACUUACCUAGCUAUUUUAGUAUAUCAGUAAUUGUAAUUGUAAUGUAGUUAUAAUGUAAUGUAAUUGAAAUAAUUUGAAAUGUAAUAAGUGUAAUUGUAAUGUUUGGAGAUCUUCUUCAUGUGUAACAUCAUGUUCUUCAAUUCCUUGUUCUGCAUCUUUGAUUUUUGCCUGCUUGGAUAAACUAAUAAAUUGGUGAAAAGGCACUUGCUUUGGGGAGUUGACAGCCCAUUGUUGUUUAUCUCAUUAAUUUCUUUUUAUGUUGUUGUUUUUAUGAUCAGUACCGAGAUGAUCAUCAAAUUGGCAAGGAGAUGGCAGAAACUAGCUGCUACCAGGAGAAAAAACAAGCACUCUGACACAACCCAUUGGGAGAACAGAUACAAGCAGUUGUCCCACAUCAUCAACAGCUGAGAAGGGUCAUUUUGUGGUGUAUUCUGCUGAUCAGAAACGACUUUUGCCUCCUUAGGAAUAACUGCACAGCAAAAUUCCCAGAAAGCUACUCAAAUUGGCAGAAGAAGAGUCUGGUUUGUCUGGCGAUGGACCUCUCACAUUGCCAUGUGAUGCAGCACUAUUAGACUACGUAAAUGCUUUGAAUAAACGGCAUGUUACCGGAGAGGCAGAGAAAGCAUUGUUGAUGCCCAUAGCCAGCAAUUGCUGCUCAUGUUCUUCGGAUCACUAUCAUCAAGUCACAGACCAUAAAAUGCCACUUUAUAGCUCUGCAGGGUAAACUACACUUGUGAAUUAGUCACCCAAGUUUAGUUGACAGACCUUGUUGUAACCCUAAAACAUUAUUAUACAUACAAUUGCUUUGACAAAUGAUGAAAAUUUAGACAAACAGUCAAUUGUAGUUAUGGAAUACAAAAUUAUAGGGAUUUUGCAUCAGUAAUCCUUGACAUGUUUCUCCUUGGGGAAUUAAAAGAGAACAGUCUAAAUCCUUUGAUUCAAGAGUUUAUGUUACCGUUCCAUGGUUCUUGCUAAUCAGAGAGAAGCAGCUGCAUCAAGUGAUGCUGAGUAAUGAAAUGUGAGCUACAAUUAAAUAAUGGGAUAUAAAUGAACACGAAUUAAGGUAAUCAGGCAGCAGCAGCGGCAAUAAACUGUGAACUACAAUUGCAUCCAUUUCAGAACAAGAAUGGGAGAUAAAUCAUGAAUCAAAAUCAUGUAUACAAUCUCAAUGCUCUUGAUUUAAUGUGGGAAGCAUGUACCAGAAUUAAACACUCUUGAGGAGUUCUUUUGGUAUAAAAAAUACAACAAUAGAUCUUAAUUUAUACGAAUAAAAUGUGUCCUCCCAAAUUCAACCCUUGCCUGGUAACAAUUUCAUUGCCUUAAUCUCCAGUUCCGUUGGCGCAUGUGCAAAAAGUUCAAUCUUCAUCUUUCUUCUCAGAUGAACUUGGAUUUUGUGAAUAUUUCUGCCACCUCUGCUUGUUCUUCUCAGAUUUACUUGCAUUUUGAGAAAAUUCUGUGAGCCCCUGUCUUAGUGCUCCAAGAUUGACCCCAUCACCAACCAGAAUGCUAGUUACUCCCAUUUUUGAAACCUGUCACCAAGAAAUCUUUUAAAUGGGAUAGAUGACUCUACAGGAAAAUUGGUGGUUCAUUACGAAAAAAAAUACAAGAUUUAAAGAUCCAACUCAUAAAAUUAGAAGACAGGGGAAGCAAGAAAGUUUUGUUUUUACCGAUUGAAUGUUCCUAUCCUCAUCAUCAAAAAAAAGCAUGGAGUUAAAGGGUAUCCCAGUCCUCGUAUGAAUCCUCUGGAAAUGAUCUGUCUUGUGAGUCCAACUGGCAAAUAUUUCCUGAAAAGUCAGAAAAAAUCACUCACCAUGUAAGCCAAACAAAGGAGUAGUUCCUCUUGAUGAUAGAUGAAUAUAAUUUCAUAUGGGGAACAUGAAGUGCAUACAAAAGCAACAUGGAAAACAAAACAUUCCCCGAGACAACAGUGAGCAGAAAAUAGAACUCCGAGCUAGCAGAAAGAUAGAACAUUCCAAUCUUUUUGGCACAAACGGGUAACUCCUAAUUCCUCAUUUCUCAUCAAAGGCAAGCACCGGCCACUUAUACUAAGCAGAAGUGACCCAGAAAUACAGAUUGUGUAAAAGAAUCAUCAGAAACACAAUAGACUUAAGAGUUUCUUACCUAUUUGAUAUGAUGAAACUCAGAGGCUCAUCACUCAAAUCAAGUUACUAGGCACUAAAUAAGUCCUCAACAUCAUGAGCUAUUCCAAGAAACAAUUCAGUAUGCAACACUUUACAAACCCUGUGAGUUAGAUGCUACAUCUUUCUCCUUCCCUUUUAGGACUAUGUUCGACUAAACUAUGACCCAGCUACUCAUGUUCUUGAGUAAAAAACACAAUUGGUUGACCCUGUUACUCAUUGCACAGUAAAGAUUUAAAAAGAAAAAAAAAAGAUUCUUAGUUCUUGAAGACUCACCUGUGCUACAAACAUUGGCUUGAGACUUAGUUUGUCAAUAAAUGUCUUUGCAAUAUCUGAGGUUGAUGAUCUAGAAGCAAUGGCCAUGUCAAUCCCCUUUUCCUUGAGUGCAUAUAAUAUGCCUUUAGCUUGGGGAAACAAGGAUGGCAUUUCACGCUUUGAGCGACAAUCGCUGAAUAACAACCAUAAUUGAAUCAAAAUUUAGACCAUGGAGAACCAAAAAAACAUCAACACAAGGAGAAAAUAAAAAGAAACCAUUCUAAUGUUUAAAUAAUCAAGGACUACAAAGAUAGUACUUUUUUUUUUAUUAAACUAAAAUGCAAGGUUCUAAAGACCAAAUAGAGCAACUGCUGAAACAUUAAAACAAAACCAAAUUCUCAUAAAAAUUACAAACAUUUUUUCCAACAUACUAGUAAGUCCAUUUCAGCUCUCCAGUAAUUCAGAUUUUAAUUUAAAAAUUCGUUCAUGAUACUAACAAUCUUAAUAAAUAACACAAUCAUAAAAUACCAAGUUACAAUUUUUACCAAGAAAGUUUCCCAGUAACACAAAAACAGAACAAAGCAUGAGAAGCCCACAUGAAAAUAACAACAUUAAACAAGAAAACAUGACAAAAAGAACAUAAUAUUUGACAUAACUUUAUGUUAACAUGCAUGUGGCUGUAAAGAAAGAAAGGUACCAAUAGAAAGGCCAGAGAGUGUAAUCUAGAUCGAAGACGACCAAUCUAGGCAGCACUUGAAACAUUCCAAUAAUUUGCAAAGCAUCGUUUUUCACCGUCUCGUCUCCCAUCUUUCUGCUUGCUUUUGCCUUUCCAAAAGAAUUUGUGAGAAUUUUAAGCGUUUGGUAUUUGUUCGACGAAGAAAACAUUGUUUACUCUUUGUUUUUUCAAUCCUUUGAAGGGACGAAGCUAGUACAUUAAAAGUCAAAGGGUGUUGCUAAAGACUAAGUUAGAGAGGGAAACUUGAGCAAACCAUUAAUAUUAUGUUAUGUUGCUAAAGACUAAGUCCAAAACACAUACAUUUCAAAAAAAAAUUAACAAUCAACUUUGAUCAAAAGACUUAGGUUAUGAUUUUAUAAAAUCACUAAAAUCAACGGUGUGACACAUGUUACGUAGAGAGGGGAACUUAAGCAAACCAUUAAUUAUCCCUUGUUAUGUUGCUAAAGACUAAGUCCAAAACACAUACAUUUAAAAAAGAAUUAAGAGUCAACUUUGGUUAAAAGACAUAGGCUAUGGUUUUACAAAAUCAAUAAAAUCAAAGGGUCCAAAUUAUAAUUUACACAAGAGUAUACCCAAGACUCUCUCUAUCAGAUCAUGAGCAGAUGCAUCCCUCAAGGUAGUGCAAAUUUUACUUCAUCAGAAAGAAGAUGAACCCAGCCAGGAUGUGAAGCUGAGAUGAACACAGAUCAGGGAGCUCUCUCUAAGACAGCCAUUGGAUCUUGCUUUAACUGUUAAUUACCUUAGCAAGGCUUGAUGGUGGAAAGCUCAAGAUGGGAGGAAAGGAAAGGGCUUUUUCUAAUACCUCCCCAUUUAUAUCUACUCAAGUUAUCAUUAAAAAAAGUAAAUUGAUGCUGCAGAAAUGCAUUAAGUUCAAACCAUAUGGCAUUGAUCAUUGCUUAUAGAGAGGGCCUUUUCAGCAUCCCGGAAAAGUCAACCAUUGCACAAGCGCUCUCUUUCUUUCAAUAAUCUUGUUUGUUCUAUUUACCUCCCUUGAGGGCUUCAAAAUAUGUGCUCUUCUGUACGUAGCACCAAACUCUGUGGAAUCAAGGUUAAUGUGCCACAGAAAAGCCCACUCCCCGCCAUUCUCUUCUUUUCUCUACCUCUUUCUAUAAUAUUUACAACCCUCAAGACCCUUCAAAGUUCUGUCCAUUUCCUUACUUGCGAGCCCUUUAAGAAUAUGUACUGAUAUAACACUGCUAUUCGCAGUGAGAUGCGAUUCUUCAGGAAUGCUUCCUUAGAGAAAUCAAAUGCCGUCAGAUGUAUGCUUUGUCCUCUCUGCAGUAUGUUCAUCAGAUGUCAAAUCGAUAACAGGUUUUUGGACUCCUCUCAAAAAGUUUUCAGCAGUGUUCAUCGCGUCAACUGAUGCGCCAAGUUUAUUGCAAUUGCCAGUGUUAUGAAAGGAUGAUGGCGAAUCAUUAGUCACAUGGUCAUUGUGC